AACGAACGCUGGCGGCGUGCCUAACACAUGCAAGUCGAACGAGAAAGGGGCUUCGGCUCCGAGUAAAGUGGCGCACGGGUGAGUAACACGUGGGUAACCUGCCUCUAAGAUUGGGAUAACUCGUCGAAAGAUGAGCUAAUACCGAAUAAGACCACAGUUCCCGCGGGAACAGGGGUCAAAGGUAGCCUCUGCUUGCAAGCUAUCACUUAGAGAUGGGCCUGCGCACCAUUAGCUAGUUGGUAGGGUAACGGCCUACCAAGGCAAAGAUGGUUAGCUGGUCUGAGAGGAUGAUCAGCCACACUGGAACUGAGACACGGUCCAGACUCCUACGGGAGGCAGCAGUGGGGAAUAUUGCGCAAUGGGCGAAAGCUUGACGCAGCAACGCCGCGUGAGGGAUGAAGGCCUUCGGGUCGUAAAGCUCUGUCGGGAGGAACGAAUGCUCCUGAGGUUAACAGCCUCGGGAGGUGACGGUACCUUCAAAGGAAGCACCGGCUAACUCUGUG
rnacentral:rRNA from 1 species